AAUCCCCCAUCUAAUUCUAUGGAAGAAUCUGGAGAUUGGUCACCAAAUGAAGACUUUCAUGGCAGGACUGGGAAAAGGACAAGGCUUCUUAAUGACCAGCACCCUCGAAAUGAUGUACAGAUAAAGGAUUAUGAUUAUGUCAACAAUGGACCUGCCCAGAGACAUGGGGAUUUUUAUAAACACCAGUGCAACGACAGCAUGACAGAAGAGAGACAUCUGAGAAAUUGGGAUUUGGGUAACAAAGGACCAGGACCAAGAUGUUCAUUCUUUGCUAAUCACCAGUGUUUUGAUGUCUCCCAAGAGGAGACAGAUUUCAAUAACAAGAUACAUGGAACCAGACCAAGACCAUUUCAUGAUCACCAGCCUCACAGUGACUGCCAUGAACCAGAUGCUGGAGAUGAUUCUGAUUUUGUUAGCAAAGUUGCUAGACAAAGGAGACAUUCCAUUCAGAAUCAUCAGGCCUAUAGUAACUGCUGGGAACAAUUUCCAAAAAAAGAUUUUGGUUUUAUUAACAGAAGCUGGGGACAAAAACGACGACUUUUCUAUAACCACCAUGAGUACCCACUUCAUGGUGAUUUUCAGGACCAGUUACUUGUACAAAGUUCUCAUUUUUUCAAUAGAGGUGGUGGUUUUCAAAGGCAAAAACGUUUCCACCAGGACUGUUUUCAUGACGAAAUGAACUGUGAAGAUGUAGAAUACAGCGAUGGAGUAUCAGAGCACACGCAAGGGUCUCUACAUGACCACUCCAACGGUGACUUCUCAGAGAAAAUGUUAUCUAAAAAAUACGUUAAAAGAGGUCAUGGACAAAGACUACCACCUUUCCCAAAGUUUCAAAAACAAAUGCAGUUAAGAAAUUUUGAUUUCAACAGUGGAACAGGACCAUGGCAAAUACCUUCCUGUAACCACCCACCUAACGAUCCACAAGAACAGAUUCUAUCGGAAGACUUGGAUUUUGAACAGGAAACAUCCUUACAAAGACCACGAUCUUUUCGGGACUCCCCACUUCCUGAUAACAUAAAUCCUGAUUGGCAUUUAGAUAAGUGAGUCAUUUGUUUUGCACAGUAAGGAGUAGUACUUGACUCCAACAAAACACACAGACUUCUUUCAAAUUAGGUAUUUGUAAAAAAGUGGUAUAAAUUAUCACCCAAAGCAAAAAUUCAGAUUUAUUCUUGUAUGGAUUCAAUUUAUAAUCAAGGUUUAUUUCUCAUGCUGUGAAUUAUAAAUUUACCUUUAUUUCCCAAGAUUACAGUAAGUAUACAAAUUAGAUUUAAAUGUUUAACCCUUCACUGUAAGCUAACAGUAAAAAAAAAAAAAAUCAGAUACAGAUUUUUCACGGAAAUACCAUGACUUUUAGAUAAGGAUUUUUAAAGAUAUAGUCGAUCCUUGAACAACAUGGAUUUAAGCUGUGUGGGUUCACUUACGUGUGGAUGUUUUACAAUACGGUACUUUAAGUGUAUUUUCUCUAAUUUUUGAAUAACAUUUUCUUUUCUCCAGCUUAUUGUAAGAAUACAGUAUAUAACACAUAUAGCAUAGGACCACAUGUUAAUCAACUGUUUAUGUUACCAGUAAGGCUUCUGGUAAACAACAGGCUGUUAGUAGUUAAGUUUUGGGGGAAUCAAAAGUUAUACAGGCAUUUUCAACUACCCAGGAAUCGGCACCCCUAACCUCCAAAUUGUUCAUGGGUCAACUGUAUUCCUUUUAGAUGUGCUAC
ensembl:lncRNA